rnacentral:rRNA from 1 species
AGGGUUUGAUCAUGGCUCAGGAUGAACGCUGGCGGCGUGCUUAACACAUGCAAGUCGAACGAACCUUCGGGUUAGUGGCGGACGGGUGAGUAACGCGUGAGAAUCUGCCCUCAGGAGGGGGAUAACGGUUGGAAACGACCGCUAAUACCCCAUAUGCCUAUUGGUGAAAUGAAUUUCGCCUGAGGAUGAGCUCGCGUCUGAUUAGCUAGUUGGUGAGGUAAUGGCUCACCAAGGCUUCGAUCAGUAGCUGGUCUGAGAGGAUGAUCAGCCACACUGGGACUGAGACACGGCCCAGACUCCUACGGGAGGCAGCAGUGGGGAAUUUUCCGCAAUGGGCGAAAGCCUGACGGAGCAACGCCGCGUGAGGGACGAAGGCCUCUGGGCUGUAAACCUCUUUUCUCAAGGAAGAAGAUAUGACGGUACUUGAGGAAUAAGCCACGGCUAAUUCCGUGCCAGCAGCCGCGGUAAUACGGGAGUGGCAAGCGUUAUCCGGAAUUAUUGGGCGUAAAGCGUCCGCAGGCGGCUUUUCAAGUCUGCUGUUAAAACGUGGAGCUUAACUCCAUCAUGGCAGUGGAAACUGAAAGGCUUGAGUAUGGUAGGGGCAGAGGGAAUUCCCGGUGUAGCGGUGAAAUGCGUAGAUAUCGGGAAGAACACCAGUGGCGAAGGCGCUCUGCUGGGCCAUUACUGACGCUCAUGGACGAAAGCCAGGGGAGCGAAAGGGAUUAGAUACCCCUGUAGUCCUGGCCGUAAACGAUGAACACUAGGUGUCGGGGGAAUCGACCCCUUCGGUGUCGUAGCUAACGCGUUAAGUGUUCCGCCUGGGGAGUACGCACGCAAGUGUGAAACUCAAGGAAUUGACAGGGGCCCGCACAAGCGGUGGAGUAUGUGGUUUAAUUCGAUGCACGCGAGAUCUUACCAGGGUUUGACAUCCUGCGACUCUUAGAAAUUUGAGGUGCCUUCGGGAAUGCAGUGACAGGUGGUGCAUGGCUGUCGUCAGCUCGUGUCGUGAGAUGUUGGGUUAAGUCCCGCAACGAGCGCAACCCACGUUUUUAGUUGCCAGCAUUUAGUUGGGCACUCUAGAAAGACCGCCGGUGAUAAACCGGAGGAAGGUGUGGAUGACGUCAAGUCAUCAUGCCCCUUACACCCUGGGCUACACACGUACUACAAUGCUACGGACAAAGGGCAGCAAACUCGCGAGAGCUAGCAAAUCCCAUAAACCGUGGCUCAGUUCAGAUCGUAGGCUGCAACUCGCCUACGUGAAGUAGGAAUCGCUAGUAAUCGCAGGUCAGCAUACUGCGGUGAAUACGUUCCCGGGCCUUGUACACACCGCCCGUCACACCAUGGAAGUUGGCCAUGCCCGAAGUCGUUACUCCAACCCUUGUGGAGGAGGACGCCGAAGGUGGGGCUAAUGACUGGGGUGAAGUCGUAACAAGGUAACCGUA